GUGUGACAUCAGCUCCAGGAUCUACUCCCACUCACAUCAGUAUGAGCCUUGUUGCAUUAUUCCAGAUUCCUGCUUGGAUGCUCACUUGACAACAACCUUCUCCAUAAAUCCCUGAAGCUGAAAACAGUUCCUGAUGUCUUUCCUUUGGAUAUACCUGGCUCUGUCGUUUCUCCUGCAAAAUGCUGUUUCAUCAGAUCAAGUGGUUGCACUGGAAUGCCCCAAGAACGUAACAGUCACAAAAGGAGGCCAAGUGACAAUAAACUGUACAAUAAAUUGGAACAAUAACAAGAGCUGUACCGGUACAGAUUACUUUUGGAAAACCGAAAAUGAUAUAAUUAAAUGUCCGGACAGCUCAUCAACAACAUAUUUCUGUGACUGGGAUCACAUUAACUACAUCUUCCUGAACAUCUCUGAUGUUCAAAAAGAAGAAAAUUUCACAGUUGGAAUUAGGGCCCCCUGUGGUUUGGAUGACCAGUUAGUCAUUCUUCAGAUCGUGUGUG